rnacentral:rRNA from 1 species
UAUCGGUAUGGGAUGGGGUCGCGUCCUAUCAGCUUGAUGGCGGGGUAACGGCCCACCAUGGCUUCGACGGGUAGCCGGCCUGAGAGGGCGACCGGCCACAUUGGGACUGAGAUACGGCCCAGACUCCUACGGGAGGCAGCAGUGGGGAAUAUUGCACAAUGGGCGCAAGCCUGAUGCAGCGACGCCGCGUGCGGGAUGACGGCCUUCGGGUUGUAAACCGCUUUUGACUGGGAGCAAGCCCUUCGGGGUGAGUGUACCUUUCGAAUAAGCACCGGCUAACUACGUGCCAGCAGCCGCGGUAAUACGUAGGGUGCAAGCGUUAUCCGGAAUUAUUGGGCGUAAAGGGCUCGUAGGCGGUUCGUCGCGUCCGGUGUGAAAGUCCAUCGCUUAACGGUGGAUCCGCGCCGGGUACGGGCG